rnacentral:rRNA from 2 species
CUUAAAUUGAAGAGUUUGAUCAUGGCUCAGAUUGAACGCUGGCGGCAGGCCUAACACAUGCAAGUCGGGCGGUAGCACAGAAGAGCUUGCUCUUUGGGUGACGAGCGGCGGACGGGUGAGUAAUGUCUGGGAAACUGCCUGAUGGAGGGGGAUAACUACUGGAAACGGUAGCUAAUACCGCAUAACCUCGCAAGAGCAAAGAGGGGGACCUUCGGGCCUCUCGCCAUCAGAUGUGCCCAGAUGGGAUUAGCUAGUAGGUGAGGUAAUGGCUCACCUAGGCGACGAUCCCUAGCUGGUCUGAGAGGAUGACCAGCCACACUGGAACUGAGACACGGUCCAGACUCCUACGGGAGGCAGCAGUGGGGAAUAUUGCACAAUGGGCGCAAGCCUGAUGCAGCCAUGCCGCGUGUGUGAAGAAGGCCUUCGGGUUGUAAAGCACUUUCAGCGGGGAGGAAGGCGGU